rnacentral:rRNA from 1 species
AUGUUCCUGCGGCGCCUGAGCACGUCCGCCUCCGCCCUCCUCCGCCGGCGCCGCCGCGGCGCCAAGGACGACGGCGUCCUAGCCGCCCUGCGUGCGGAGAUCGCCCACGAGCUCUCCUCGCCCCCCUCCUCCUCCCCCCCUUCCCUCCAUUCUCAGGAGGCUCUCGACUUUGACACCGUGUCGGACGCGCCGCGUGCGCAGGACGUGCUUCUGCGCCGCCGCGGAGACGCCGAGGAGGUCCACGUGUCGGCGCUGCUCGCCCCGCUGCGGUUCGAAGGCGAGGAGCCGCUGCCCAGGGACGCGCUCAUGAAGGUGUUCAUCAGCAAGCCAGGAGUGGAACCGCUGCUGCGCUUCGACUGCCGCGCGGUUGCCGCCGGCCGCGGCGCUGCUGCUGGCUAUGAUAUAACUGCCCUCUCGUAUCACGCGUUCCCUGGCGAUGGUGGAGACAGCAAGUAUGAAGGGCCAGACUUCGGGGAUUUGGAUCCUAAGCUACAGGCUGCACUGAAAGAAUAUCUCCUGGCAAGAGGCGUUACCCCCGAACUGGCGACCUCACUUCGUGAACACUUGCUUCAGAAGGAGCAGGCCCAGUACGUGAGCUGGCUGAAAACAUUGGAGGGGAUGUUCACCAAAGAUCAUUGA